rnacentral:lncRNA from 7 species
AUGUUUCUGUCUCUGUGGAGGUUCUUUCCGUUCUUUCCGUUCUUUCCGUUCUUUCCGUUCUUUCCGUUCUUUUUGUUAUUUUUGAACUAUCACCUAAUUUUCUGCCCUAUGUUUCUGUCUCUGCGGAGGUUCUUUCCGUUCUUUCCGUUCUUUUUGUUGUUUUUGAACUGUCACCUGAAUUUUCUGCCCUAUGUUUCUGUCUCUGCGGAGGUUCUUUCCGUUCUUUCCGUUCUUUCUGUUGUUGUUUUUGAACUGUCACCAAAUUUUCUGCCCUAUGUUUCUGUCUCUGUGGAGGUUCUUUCCGUUCUUUCCGUUCUUUCUGUUGUUGUUUUUGAACUGUCACCAAAUUUUCUGCCCUAUGUUUCUGUCUUGUGGAGGUUCUUUCCGUUCUUUCCGUUCUUUCGGUUCUUUCGGUUCUUUCCGUUCUUUCCGUUCUUUUUGUUGUUUUUGACCUCUCACCUAAUUGUCUGCCCUAUGUUUCUGUCUCUGUGGAAGUUCUUUCCGUUCUUUCCGUUCUUUUUGUUGUUUUUGAACUGUCACCUAAUUUUCUGCCCUAUGUUUCUGUCUCUGUGGAGGUUCUUUGCGUUCUUUGCGUUCUUUGCGUUCUUUGCGUUCUUUGCGUUCUUUGCGUUCUUUGCGUUCUUUGCGUUCUUUGCGUUCUUUGCGUUCUUUGCGUUCUUUGCGUUCUUUGCGUUGUUGUUUUUGAACUGUCACCUAAUUUUCUGCCCUAUGUUUCUGUCUCUGUGGUGGUUCUUUCCGUUCUUUCCGUUCUUUCCGUUCUUUCCGUUGUUGUUUUUCAACUGUCACCUAAUUUUCUGCCCUAUGUUUCUGUCUCUGUGGAAGUUCUUUCUGUUCUUUCCGAACUGUCACCAAAUUUUCUGCCCUAUGUUUCUGUCUCUGUGGAGGUUCUUUCCGUUCUUUCCGUUCUUUCCGUUCUUUCCGUUCUUUUUGUUAUUUUUGACCUGUCACCUAAUUUUCUGCCCUAUGCUUCUGUCUCUGUGGAGGUUCUUUCCGUUCUUUCUGUUGUUGUUUUUGAACUGUCACCAAAUUUUCUGCCCUAUGUUUCUGUCUCUGUGGAGGUUCUUUCCGUUCCUCCGUUCUUUCCGUUCUUUCCGUUCUUUCUGUUGAUGUUUUUGAACUGUCACCUAAUUUUCUGCCCUAUGUUUCUGUCUCUGUGGAGGUUCUUUCCGUUCUUUCCGUUCUUUCUGUUGUUGUUUUUGAACUGUCACCUAAUUUUCUGUUCUAUGUUUCUGUCUCUGUGGAGGUUCUUUCCGUUCUUUCCGUUCUUUCCGUUCUUUCCGUUCUUUCCGUUCUUUCCGUUGUUGUUUUUGAACUGUCACCUAAUUUUCUGUUCUAUGUUUCUGUCUCUGUGGAGGUUCUUUCCGUUCUUUCCGUUCUGUCCGUUCUUUGGGUUCUUUUUGUUGUUUUUGAACUGUGAUCUAAUUUUCUGCACUAUGUUUCUGUCUUUGUGGAGGUUCUUAUCGUUCUUUCCGUUCUUUUUGUUGUUUUUGAACUGUCACCAAAUUUUCUGCCCUAUGUUUCUGUCUCUGCGGAGGUUCUUUCCGUUCUUUCCGUUCUUUUUGUUGUUUUUGAACUGUCACCUAAUUUUCUGCCCUAUGUUUCUGUCUCUGUGGAGGUUCUUUCCGUUCUUUCCGUUCUUUCUGUUGUUGUUUUUGAACUGUCACCAAAUUUUCUGCCCUAUGUUUCUGUCUCUGUGGAGGUUCUUUCCGUUCUUUCUGUUCUUUCUGUUGUUGUUUUUGACUGUCACCUAAUUUUCUGCCCUAUGUUUCUGUCUCUGUGGAGGUUCUUUCCGUUCUUUCCGUUCUUUUUGUUAUUUUUGAACUGUCACCAAUUUUUGCCUAUGUUUCUGUCUCUGUGGAGGUUCUUUCCGUUCUUUCCGUUCUUCCGUUCUUUCCGUUGUUGUUUUUGAACUGUCACCUAUUUUCUGUCUAUGUUUCUGUCUCUGUGGAGGUUCUUUCCGU